UACGGAGGAUCCAAGCGUUAUCCGGAAUCAUUGGGUUUAAAGGGUCCGUAGGCGGUUUAAUAAGUCAGUGGUGAAAGCCCAUCGCUCAACGGUGGAACGGCCAUUGAUACUGUUAGACUUGAAUUAUUAGGAAGUAACUAGAAUAUGUAGUGUAGCGGUGAAAUGCUUAGAGAUUACAUGGAAAUACCAAAUUGCGAAGGCAGGUUACUACUAAAUU
rnacentral:rRNA from 1 species